GACAGAGGGUGCAAACGUUGUUCGGAAUUACUGGGCGUAAAGCGCGCGUAGGCUGGUCGUUAAGUCUGCUGUGAAAGCCCGGGGCUCAACCCCGGAGGGUCGGUGGAUACUGGCGGCCUUGAAGGUGCUAGGGGGGAAUGGAAUUACCGGUGUAGCGGUGAAAUGCGUAGAUAUCGGUAGGAACACCAGUGGCGAAGGCGGUUCCCUGGGGCACUCUUGACGCUGAUGCGCGAAAGCUGGGGGAGCGAACGGG
rnacentral:rRNA from 1 species